rnacentral:rRNA from 1 species
UACGUAGGCAGCAAGCGUUGUUCGGAAUUACUGGGCGUAAAGAGUGUGUAGGCGGUGCUCCAAGUCUGGUGUGAAAUCUCCCGGCUCAACUGGGAGGGUGCGCUAGAAACUGGAAUGCUAGAGGAUGGGAGAGGUAAGCGGAAUUCCUGGUGUAGCGGUGAAAUGCGUAGAUAUACAGGGAGGAACACCUGUGGUGUAGAUCGCUUACUGGACCAUUUCUGACGCUGAGACACGAAAGCGUGGGUAGCAAACAGG